ACCUGUCUUGUCACAGCUUUAACAAAUUAAGCAAAGUUGCAUUCUCAAGUCUCAACCCUUCUCUACCCAGUUCUCUUCCCCUCGAUCUAUCAUAGGUUAAAAAAAACAUUAUUAAAAAAGAAGAAGAAGAAGAAAUGCCUUGCCUAGAUAUAUCUACUAACGUCAACCUGGAUGGAGUGGACGUCGACUCAUUCUUCAAAGAAGCCACCACCGCCGUCGCCAACAUCAUCGGAAAACCCGAAAAGUAUGUGAUGAUUGUACUGAAAGGAUCAGCAAACAUACAUUUCGGAGGGAAUAAGGAAGCAGCUGCUUUUGCUGAGGUUGUGUCCAUGGGAGGCAUCAAUUCAGAGGUUAAGAAGCAGCUUAUUUCUUCAAUUGGUUCAAUUAUGGAGGCCAAUUUCUCCAUUCCCAGGACUAGGUUUUUCCUCAAAGUUUUUGAUACCACUUUGGCUAAAAAGCUCUCCAAAAUCUGAGAUCACAAUUUAAUAGGACUCAUAAAUGUAUCCAACAUUUACCAAAUAAUAAAGAUUAAUUAUAUUAAACAUUGACAAAUAA